rnacentral:rRNA from 1 species
GAUGAACGCUGGCGGCGUGCCUAAUACAUGCAAGUCGAGCGAACAGAUAAGGAGCUUGCUCCUUUGACGUUAGCGGCGGACGGGUGAGUAACACGUGGGUAACCUACCUAUAAGACUGGGAUAACUUCGGGAAACCGGAGCUAAUACCGGAUAACAUUUGGAACCGCAUGGUUCUAAAGUGAAAGAUGGUUUUGCUAUCACUUAUAGAUGGACCCGCGCCGUAUUAGCUAGUUGGUAAGGUAACGGCUUACCAAGGCGACGAUACGUAGCCGACCUGAGAGGGUGGUCAGCCACAUUGGAAGUUAGACCGGGACCAGACUCCUUAACAGGGCAGCAGCGCGGAAUCUUCCACGAUGGGCCAAAGCCUGACGGAGAAACACCGCGUGAAGCAUGAAGAGUCACGGUUCCUAUAGCUCUGUUAGUAGUGGAGAUCAAAUGUGUAAGUAACUGUGCAGGUCUUGACGGUACCUAAUCAAAAAGCCACGGCUAACUACGUG